rnacentral:lncRNA from 1 species
CACACACACACACACACACUAAUCGCCCCAGAAAAGAAACCUAUGACAGACCAAAGUAGUGAUUUCGCUGAAGUUCAACUUAGUGAACCAAAGAGCUUUUAUUGAGGUUACUUAAAAGAAAGUGGGGGAGGGCUUACUUACAGGAGCAGAGAUGACUCGAAAGGGACUGUGUUAUUAAAAUUGUCACCAUGUGAGUGUUGGUAUCAGGACCUCUGAAACCCAUGACAUCACAUAGGUGAGACCUGAACACCUGUUGCCAAGGCAACAGCCACCAUAUUCCCAGAAUCCACUUGGCUCCCCUCCCAUCUUUAACUGUGAUUUCGUCAUCACCCAUAUAUAAAGAAAGCCCCCCUCCCCAUCUCUCACUCUCUCUUUCCCUCCCUUCUUUUUCCUCCGUUACCUUGCCCCUCUCUCUCCUAGUAAACCUCAUGUGGAACUGUUUGGCCUGGUGUGGUCCUUCUGAAGCCGGGAGACAUUCAAGGUCAUAACAAUGAGUACUCAUGAAACCUGCGAUCCUGGAGCCCUCUGCAUCGCUUGUAUGCAGCUCAACAGGCCCCGAGAUCUCCUCACUACAAUGAAGCUGGUAAGAGGCUCCUCCUUCACCAGGUACAGAGUGGGGCUGGAGACCGGAGGCAGCGGGGACUCCCGCUAGGAUGUAUGUGGUGGUACUGAGAAGCUGCUCGGUGGCUUCCCUACUGGGUUACCACGAGCUGCACCUUAGCAGAGAUGCGCGUCCCUCAGCGGCCUAUUUGUUUCCUGCUUUGCUUUGAUAAGUGGUAUCUGCGAUGACAGCGAGAGCACACAUAUAUCUAACUUUAAAAAGAUUCGAUUCUGCCUAUUAUGAUUUCCUCGCUGCUGGUAUUUUGAUGAAGAGGGAGACAGACAGUAACGCUUCCCCGAGAAAGAAACGGAUCUCAUCCUACCUCCUGUUGGUCUUCUGUGUCUGUGUUAGCCACUGUCAGCGGAAACCAGAGAAGACUAGGUCUUGCGUUAUGAGAGCCAGAGCCUAUGGCCUGACACAGUUCAUUCUUCAUCUUAGAACCCAGGAUCCAAGCUCGUAA